CUCGCACGAGCCUGCCUGCCGAUCCGCCGAUCCCAUCUCGCCCAUCGUCACCUCCUCCCGACCUCCACCACGCCUCACUGCGCGCCGCCGGCCGCCGCCGCGCCCCGCCGCGCCGAGCCACCGCGCGCCGCCGCCACCCCGUCGCGGAAACAUAGUCUGAUACGACAACUUCUGAAUCAAAGACCAGAAGGAAACAAUUGACUUAAAGAGUUGCAACGAGUUGAUCACAUCCACAUGUCUUUGCAACGGAGCCCUUGCACAAAAGUAAAUUGUGGCCACAAAUGGUGCACUAGCCACAUAAGAUGUACUGAUGCACCAUAUGCCUCAAGAACAAGAGUAACACCGUGUCUCAAGUUCUGCUGCAGCUAGAUUCCGAUCUCCUGGUCUUGCCUGCGAAUGUUUUUUUAUUCAAAGUGGUUCAGUUCCAUUCCAUACAAAUUAGUCAUAUUAUGAGUUGCAGGAACCUUUCUUUAUUUUUAGUAUAUGUCCAGUUAUGUUUUCUUGCGAUGUGAACACUAAUGAACAGAAUAACAUUAUGGUGUAUUAUUUUUUACAAGCAUGCAAUCUGUAAAGUUAGUUUCGUUUACAAAAUCAUUCGUCAGCGACUGAAUCGGAGGGAGAUUUAUGAAAAGUGAACUAGCUGACAAACUGACAUAAGGAAGGUCUACUUGAGAUUAAGCGAACUGACAGUUUUCAGGCUGAUGUCGAGAUAGAUUUUGAAAUGACAUCAAUCGACAGCGCCAAUCCUUUCGAUCCUUCCCGACUUUUGGACGUGGAGAAGCAUUGCCGGGAAGCGGGUGCAUCGGUUCAUGGCGGCAUAGGGCCAUUUGGACUUAUUGUCCUAGCCUCUGACAACAUAUAGGAGCACACUGCUAUUCACUUCCGGGUGUACAAGUCAGAGCAGAAGUACAUGAUACUCAUGUGCUCUGAUCUAAGAAGGUUAAUGCUUAUGGUUUUUGCCUUCAUGAGUAAAAGGAAUUUUUCUUUUUCUUUGCACAGUUCUUCAUUGAGACAAGGACUAUACACACCAGCCUAUGGAGGCUUCUUUGAAUUUGAUCUUCAAAAGGAAAAGAAGAUAUCUCUGAGAACUCUGAUUGAUCCGUCAGCGGUGAAGAGCUUUGGCGGUGGUGGCAGGGUCUGCAACAUGGCCAGAGUUUAUCCCAUAGCGGUUGUCGACAGUGGGGCCCACAUGUGUGCCUUCAACAACGGCAGUACCACGAUCAGAGCACGUAAACAUGGAAAAAAAAGCUGCUCAUUUCCUUGACCUCUAGGAUUCAUAUAUUGUAGUUUACUGUCAGCGUUAGUAGGGAACUGUCAGCGUUACCCCCUGCUGAGUAUUGCAUAUUUAGUACGUGCAAGUCUGCUAAGGGCCCUCGAGUUAUGCUUACGGAUGUUGCUAAGUUUCUUUUUCUC